UACGGAGGGUGCGAGCGUUGUUCGGAAUCACUGGGCGUAAAGCGCGUGUAGGCGGCCUGCUAAGUCUGAUGUGAAAGCCCGAGGCUCACCCUCGGAAGUGCAUUGGAAACUGGCAGACUGGAGUCCCGGAGAGGAGGGUGGAAUUCCUGGUGUAGCGGUGAAAUGCGUAGAUAUCAGGAGGAACACCAAUGGCGAAGGCAGCUCGCUGGGACGUGACUGACGCUGAGACGCGAAAGCGUGGGGAGCAAACAGG
rnacentral:rRNA from 1 species